rnacentral:rRNA from 1 species
ACUCCUACGGGAGGGAGCAGUGGGAAUAUUGCACAAUGGGGGAAACCCUGAUGCAGCCAUGCCGCGUGUGUGAAGAAGGCCUUCGGGUUGUAAAGCACUUUCAGCGAGGAGGAAAGGGUGUGUGUUAAUACCAUACAUCGUUGACGUUACUACGCAGAAGAAGCACCGGCUAACUCCGUGCCAGCAGCCGCGGUAAUACGGAGGGUGCGAGCGUUAAUCGGAAUUACUGGGCGUAAAGCGUGCGCAGGCGGUUUGUUAAGCGAGAUGUGAAAGCCCC